rnacentral:rRNA from 1 species
GGAUUAGGCAUGCAAGUCGAACGAGGGAGUGCCUCGAAAGGGGCGCAAACCGAGUGGCGUAAGGGUGAGUAAUGCAUUGAUAACCUGCCUUUGAGAUGGGAAUAACAACGUUCCAAGCAAUUGGGGCUACCGAAAGGGUUGCUAAUACCCAAUAAAACUAUUGCUGCUAUUGGUAGUAAUAGUCAAAUAAAUGGGGUCGAAAGAUUUCAUUUGCUCGAAGAGGGGUCAAUGUCCUAUCAGCUAGUUGGUAGAGUAAUAGCCUACCAAGGCAAAGACGGGUAGCCGGCCUGAGAGGGUGGUCGGCCACACUGGGACUGAGACACUGCCCAGACUCCUACGGGAGGCUGCAGUCGAGAAUCUUUCGCAAUGCCCGAAAGGGUGACGAAGCGACGCCGCGUGCGGGAAGAAGGCCUUCGGGUUGUAAACCGCUGUCGGGAGUUAAGAAAUGCAAGGAUGUUAAUAGCAUCUUUGUUUGACUAAGGCUCCGGAGGAAGCCACGGCUAACUCUGUGCCAGCAGCCGCGGUAAUACAGAGGCGGCAAGCGUUGUUCGGAAUUAUUGGGCGUAAAGAGCACGUAGGCGGCUGUGUAAGUCGGUUGUGAAAGCCUUCCGCUUAACGGAAGAACGGCAUCCGAUACUGCAUAGCUCGAGUGCGGGAGGGGAGAGUGGAACUUCUGGUGGAGCGGUGAAAUGCGUAGAUAUCAGAAGGAACACCGGCGGCGAAGGCGACUCUCUGGCCCGUAACUGACGCUGAGUGUGCGAAAGCUAGGGGAGCAAACGGGAUUAGAUACCCCGGUAGUCCUAGCCGUAAACGAUGGGCACUAGGUAGAGGGGUUUUGAUUAUCUCUCUGCCGGAGCUAACGCAUUAAGUGCCCCGCCUGGGGAGUACGGCCGCAAGGCUAAAACUCAAAAGAAUUGACGGGGGCUCGCACAAGCGGUGGAGCAUGUGGCUUAAUUCGAUGCAACGCGAAGAACCUUACCGGGGUUUGACAUGAUGGAAGUAGGAGCCCGAAAGGGCAACGAACGGUAUCCAGUCCGUAACUAUCACAGGUGUUGCAUGGCUGUCGUCAGCUCGUGUCGUGAGACGUUGGGUUAAGUCCCCUAACGAGCGAAACCCUUGUCUUUAGUUGCCAACAGGUCAUGCUGGGUACUCUAAAGAGACUGCCGUCGUCAAGACGGAGGAAGGUGGGGAUGACGUCAAGUCAUCAUGGCCCUUAUAUCCCGGGCUGCACACGUGCUACAAUGGUCGGUACAAAGGGAUGCUAAACCGCAAGGCGGAGCGAAACCCAGAAAGCCGAUCUCAGUUCAGAUUGGAGGCUGAAACCCGCCUCCAUGAAGUAGGAAUCGCUAGUAAUCGCGGAUCAGCUACGCCGCGGUGAAUAUGUUCCCGAGCCUUGUACACACCGCCCGUC